UAGGGAAUCUUCCGCAAUGGACGAAAGUCUGACGGAGCAACGCCGCGGGAGUGAAGAAGGAUUUCGGUUCGUAAAACUCUGUUGUUAGGGAAGAAAAAAUGUAUAGUAACUAUAUACAAAAGAGACGGUACCUAACCAGAAAGCCACGGCUAACUACGUGCCAGCAGCCGCGGUAAUACGUAGGUGGCAAGCGUUGUCCGGAAUUAUUGGGCGUAAAGCGCGCGCAGGUGGUUUAGAAAGUCUGAUGUGAAAGCCCACGGCUCAACCGUGGAGGGUCAUUGGAAACUAAUAAACUUGAGUGCAGGAGAGAAAAGUGGAAUUCCUAGUGUAGCGGUGAAAUGCGUGGAGAUUAGGAGGAGUACCGGUGGCGAAGGCGACUUUCUGGCCAUAAUCUGACGCUGAGGUACGAAAGCGUGGGUAGCAAACAGG
rnacentral:rRNA from 1 species